GUUGUCUGACAGCCGGAGGGUGAACAAGUUAACAAGGCUAAUUUAUAAAAAGUGUAAAUUUCUAUUGAAAACUGCCAUUUUUAUAUAUAAAAAAGGGGGGACACUUUUCAAACAAUGUACUUUUGGGGGGUUUUGAGGUGGAACUUUAAAUUCAAAAAUUCACUUUGAAUCUCCCAAAAUUCUCACUUUAGUGACUAAUCCUGACCAUUUACAAACACUGACUAAUAUAUAGAACAGUUAAAUUAGUUUGAGGAAGCAGCCAUUUUGCUUUCCUAUCAGAC